GUCAGGUGUAGGUGCUUUCUGACACCUCCAGGAGGAGCCCAGCUGGGGGCUGUUAUAGAUAGCUUGUACUGGGGAUGUGGAGGGCUGUGAUAGCAUUACCUGGAAGGAAGCGAGCACUCUUGGCAGAUAAGGCUGGAAAAGAAUAGCCUCGGACGUAGGAUGUUGCCCAGGAGCACCCAGGACAACCAUCUCUUUGCUCAAGAAACAACAUUACAUCAUUCCAACCGGAAUCUCACCUUGCUUGCUGUUGUUCUGUGUGGCUUACCUGGUGGUGGGGAGAGAAGAGGAGAUGGAGAAAACAAUGCUGCGUGUUAGGAAAUAUGAGACAAAGCAGUCUCUGCCCCACAUAUUGUGAUGAAGAUCUGGAACACAAAAACACCUCACGUAACUUUUAAAGCUUCAAACCUGUGACUUAUAAUGGGACUGCAAUGUACAGUGGCCUCAAAUUAGACUUUAUUGUAGCUUUAAUCUUCUUUCUUGCUCAGCUCUGAUUGUUGCUUUCUUAUGAGCAAGCAAAAACUGAUGUACAAAGAUGGACAGUUGCUUCUGUAUUACAGUUUGCUUCCCCAUCACAGUGUAGCCAGAGAUCCUGAAUUCACAUGCACAUAAUAGACUGUGAGGAAGUACAGCAUGAUCAUCUUGAGCUCCGAAAAAAAAUCACCUGUGUGUGUGUGCAGCAUAUAAUUAAAGGAGAAGCAGUAGCAAUAACUUCCAAAUGAACAUUACCAAAUACUUCCAGUGGAAAAAUGCUUAUGAUCUUUUGUGAAGUGUUCUGUGUCUCCAUGGCUAGCAACAGGCCUUUGAAACUUGACACCUUUUUGUUGGCUGUUUUGAGAACAAAACAAACAAACAAACAAAAACGAACAACAAAAAAAACAAAACAAAAAACCCACAAAAGUUCAGACUGUAUGAAUUGUAAGCUAUUUUAAAAUCUUAUUUCUUGUCCUUGGUUCUCAUAUGUUUUGGCAAUAUCUCAGAAUCCUGCAAUAAUCUACAGAGCUUGUGGUUGUCUGUUGUCAGCAUUUACCCUUGGUGUGCUAUAUACUCCAGGUGGGACACACAGAGAAUAACUACCCUUCAACCUGGAAUAUCCUUUUGCUUGCAAGUACCGUCCACUGGGAGCAACAGAAUGAUGGUGCUACACUUCUUUUCCUGUCCAGGAAUAAUAUUUUUUGUCUUAUAAUAGAACUGUGCCUUUACACUGAACAGGCCAAACCAAGACAGAGUAUUGUCUACAAGCUGGGGCAUCAGCCUACGUCUUUGGACAUGUAAGUUGAGUUCUAGCUGAUCACAGAUAACAUAAGUUUUUAUACAAAUAAAUCAGCCUUUCUGUGUCUCUGUUCUUUUUUUUCCUUCUUUUUCUCCCUCCUCUCUCUUUUUUUUUUCUUUUUUCUUUCCUGUAGGAUAGAAAGAAGGAAGAAUUGUGCAAUUAAUUGUUGCUAUGUUUUAAUUGUUCAACACGUCACUUAUUGGAUGAAAUUCUAGCCUAAAAGCAGGAGUGUGAUAUAUAAUGUGACAUAAUGGAUUUUAAUUAUGUUUGGGCCAUACCAUGGCAGACAAAACUGCUAUUAUCCUCAUUGGAAACCAGAUUAAUAGAAUGACGUUGACGAUCAGCAUUUGAUCAAUCAACACUGUGACCGAUGUCGCGAGGAGCUGUGUGGAAUGCACCACCACUGUAUGCCAGCACCCUGGCAGGAAUGAACUGGAAAGAGACUGAUGGUGGAUAAGUGGCUAGCCUACUUUGACUAUAUAAAGAUCAUCUAUCUCCCUCUCUGUUGGCCUUUGUCUCAGCUGUGGAGAAACUGGUUCAGCAGCUUGAAGAAAAAGAAACUGGUUCAAUGGCUCCUCCACUUGUACAGACCAGUGUUUCAGCCACUAGAAGUAUGCGUUCCUCUGCACAAGAGAGAGGAUAUAGAGAGUACACACCAUGUACCAUCCUGUGGUUUUACCUGCGUGACCAUGGAGAGCUUAUGAGGAAAUGGGAUGGAGAAGUCACCUUGGCCCUACA
ensembl:lncRNA